GCCAGCGUGGCAUAAUGGUUUUAGUAUUAAACUACAACUCUGGAGACCAGGAUUCAAUUCCCUGCUCAACCA